rnacentral:rRNA from 1 species
GAUGAACGCUGGCGGCGCGCCUAACACAUGCAAGUCGAACGAUUAAAGCACCUUCGGGUGUGUAUAAAGUGGCGAACGGUUGAGUAACACGUGGGCAACCUGCCCCUUUCAUUGGGAUAGCCACGGGAAACCGUGGAUAAUACCGAAUACUUCGAGACUUCCGCAUGGAAGACUCGAGAAAGCUCCGGCGGAGAGGGAUGGGCCCGCGGCCUGUUAGCUUGUUGGUGGGGUAACGGCCUACCAAGGCAAUGAUGGGUAGCUGGGUUGAGAGACCGACCAGCCAGAUUGGGACUGAGACACGGCCCAGACUCCUACGGGAGGCAGCAGUGGGGAAUCUUGCACAAUGGGCGAAAGCCUGAUGCAGCGACGCCGCGUGCGGGAUGAAGGCCUUCGGGUUGUAAACCGCUUUCAGCAGGGACGAGGCGAAAGUGACGGUACCUGCAGAAGAAGCCCCGGCUAACUACGUG